GUGAGGAAUAUUGGUCAAUGGACGGAAGUCUGAACCAGCCAUACCGCGUGCAGGAAUAAGGUCCUAUGGAUUGUAAACUGCUUUUAUUCGGGAAUAAACCUCUUUACGUGUAGGGAGCUGAAGGUACCGAAGGAAUAAGCACCGGCUAACUCCGUGCCAGCAGCCGCGGUAAUACGGAGGGUGCAAGCGUUAUCCGGAAUCAUUGGGUUUAAAGGGUCCGCAGGCGGGCUAUCAAGUCAGAGGUGAAAUCCCACAGCUUAACUGUGGAACUGCCUUUGAAACUGAUGGUCUUGAAUUAAGUGGGCGUUGGCGGAAUAUGACAUGUAGCGGUGAAAUGCAUAGAUAUGUCAUGGAACACCGAAAGCGAAGGCAGCUAACGAUACUUAUAUUGACGCUCAUGGACGAAAGCGUGGGUAGCGAACAGGAUUAGAAACCCUGGUAGUCC
rnacentral:rRNA from 1 species